rnacentral:lncRNA from 1 species
CUCGCGCAGGCCAUUAUACGGGGAGACGGGAGAUGUGUGUGAGCAGCGAGAGUAUUUUAUGGACAAUAAGGAAAGUCUGUUUUCUGGUCUAUUUUCAUACACAACGCACACUGGAUAGUAAAGAACAGAGGGGUGUCGCCAUGUUUCCCUUCUAAUGGGAAAGCUGGGGGAAGUAAAAAUGAGGAUGGUCUGACUUCAAGACAAAGCCACCCGGGACUCCAGCCCUAGUUAUGAAACUGAAACACCUGUCAUUUUAGUGUGGUGGCCAAUCUUCAUUAGUUGCACAUUGCACCAGUAAGAGCAGAGUGUAAAGAUUCAAUUAGCAAGGUAAGAG